GUAGUCUGCAACCCGACUACAUGAAGCUGGAAUCGCUAGUAAUCGCGAAUCAGAAUGUCGCGGUGAAUACGUUCCCGGGUCUUGUACACACCGCCCGUCACACCAUGGGAGUCGGUAACGCCCGAAGCCUGUGACCCAACCUAAUAGGAGGGAGCAGUCGAAGGUGGGACCGGUGACUGGGGUGAAGUCGUAACAAGGUAUC
rnacentral:rRNA from 1 species